rnacentral:lncRNA from 1 species
AUUUAUGUGUUGUCUUAUCGUACAGUGAAAUUCGGACAUAUGAUUGUAAUUUGACUACCGUGUUAUAGGUGUUGACUACUAUCUACUAGCGUUUGACUACUAAUUUAUGUGUUGUCUUAUCGUACAGUGAAAUUCGGACAUAUGAUUGUAAUUUGACUACCGUGUUAUAGGUGUUGACUACUAUCUACUAGCGUUUGACUACUAAUUUAUGUGUUGUCUUAUCGUACAGUGAAAUUCGGACAUAUGAUUGUAAUUUGACUAUCAUGUUAUAGGUGUUGACUACUAUCUACUAGCAUUUGACUACUACCUACUAGCGUUUGACUACUCCUUUCUAGGUGUUGACUACCCCAUUA